rnacentral:rRNA from 1 species
AAAAGAAGAUCAAGAAGAGCUUCAGAAUGAAGCUUUCUUGAUGGAGGGGAGCGGCAGACGGGUGAGUAACGCGUGGGAACGUACCCUUUGCUACGGAAUAGCUCCGGGAAACUGGAAUUAAUACCGUAUGUGCCCUACGGGGGACAGAUUUAGCGGCAAAGGAUCGGCACGCGUUGGAUUAGCUAGUUGGUGGGGGAAUGGCCUACCAAGGCGACGAUCCGUAACUGGUCUGAGAGGAUGAUCAGUCACACUGGAACUGAGACACGGUCCAGACUCCUACGGGAGGCAGCAGUGGGGAAUAUUGGACAAUGGGCGAAAGCCUGAUCCAGCCAUGCCGCGUGUGUGAAGAAGGUCUUCGGAUUGUAAAGCUCUUUCACCGGAGAGGAUAAUGACGGUAUCCGGAGAAGAAGCCCCGGCUAACUUCGUGCCAGCCGCCGCAGUAAGAC